rnacentral:lncRNA from 1 species
UAAGCAAUAAUAAUAAUACUCUAAUAAUUUUGAUGCUUGAAGCUAUAGCGAAACUCGUCGUGUCAAUAAAACAAUAGGUUUUCUAAUACUUGUACUAGUAAAAUUCAGAAAGAAGCCAACAGAGCAAUUGUCAGUAGAGAUUGAAACACCAAUCAAGCCUCAUGCACAAUUCUAAAGCAAUCAGGCCCUCAAACUUUGUUAUUCAUCUAAGGCCCAUGAUACUAAACUACAGUCAUCUCUCAAGAAUUUGAAUUUCAACAACAUACAAAAUCACAGAUUUUCUAGAGUUCAGGAAUACCUUCAACACAUAUGAUGCUAAAGAGUGCAAAAGAAAAAUUAUGGUCUAGUGUAGUUUUUUAUUUUUCCACUAAGCAACGUGAGUGAGUGAAAGAAGUUGUCCAAUGCCAAAUUUAAGGCACUUUCAAAUUGUACACACUUCUGAGGAUUAUAAUGUUACAAUCAUAGUUGUUAAGUUGUGAAGUCGAGUUGAGUCGGUGGCGGAGAGCUUAGCGACUAGACGAGUAGGCACCCAACUAGUCGCUCAUAAGUCGACAAAUCAUUUGCAAUUUAUA